rnacentral:lncRNA from 1 species
AAUCACACACGCACACGCGCGCGCGCAGCACUCACCGACCACUCUGCGGGGACGCAGGGAGCCGCAGGCCGAAGGAGGGCGGCCGCAGUCAAGCCCGCCCCUCCGCCCCCGCGCGGCCUGUCACGGCGGCCCGGGGUCCCGGAGCCUGCCCGGGGGCCGGAGGGGCGUGCGAGAGCCGGGCGCGGGCCGGGGGCCAGGCCCGUCCCUCCCUCACAUGGAGCCCGUGCCGCCCCUCGGUGCUUCUCGCCACAGCUGCCCGGAGGCCUGCGGGGAGCCGGGCAGGAAAGGAGGAAGCCCAGGGCCGGCGCCGCCAGGGGCAGGAGAAGAGGCGGGAGCAGCGACUCCGCGGCCGGGGACGCGGGAUGUCCGGGUCGUCGUCCUCGUCUUCUCCGCCGCUGGCCGCCCGACCCUCGAACGCCGAACCCCGCGGUCGCACCGCCCUCGUCAAGCUCCGCAGCCGAGGGUAGCCCGGCCGCCACUACACACGGACCCGUGACGUCUGGCGUAGCGCGGCGCACGUCAAGGCCGCUUGCUCGUGAACGCGCGGCCCUUCUCUCACUGGGAACGGAACCCGCCCCGGCCGCGCGCCCGGCUAGACAGAGCGUGUCGGCGCCUGCGCAGUGGCCCGCUCUGACCAAGCAAGGCCGGGCCCCGCCCACCGGGUAGUUUGGGAGUUCUCCGGCCGGGCCUGGCCUCAGCGUCGGCCCCGCCCCUGGCUUCGGGCGCCCUGCGCUUUGCUGCAUGCGUGUCGUAAAACAGUCUGGGUUUUGUCGCGUCCACGAGUCACUCAGGUCUCGGCUGGUAGCGCUAGAGAAGGAACUCUUACGUGGACUGCAGGCUGAACCCAAGGGCGGCGAGACUGGAGAGGCUGCGACCGACAAAACCAAGGCAAGUUAGUUCAAGGUGAAGAACCAUUUGCCUCCUAAUUGGUAUACCAAGUUUCAGAGUUCUUUCCUGAAAGACUUCAGAAAUGACCCUGGGCUUGGACUGGGACCACAUUUCCAUUCAAGCAUUCCAAAGAAGACAAAUGGGAAUGGAACCUGGUGGACUCAGAAGUUAGAAGCUGCCCUAACUGAGGGGCCCCAGUGGGUCAAGGGAGCUGCCAUUGUUGGACAGUGACUGGAGGUGGUGGUGGUAUGAAGUAUCAAAAUAUCUGAAUCCCUUUCCAGGAGUUUUUAUUACACUGUCAUUAGAGGGGUAUCAAUGACAGUAUAAAGAAUGCACACCUCAAAAAUAAACCUAAAUGGAAAACCUUGCCCCAUCUUAAAUCUUGUUUGUGUUAAAAGUAGAGGACUUUACUCUUACAUACACAUAAAAUCUCAAAAAGAUCUUUAAGAUACCUCUUUUUUAUUUUGUGGUACAAUGAUAGAACCCAGAGCCCACUCACAUGCUACAUAGGCACUCUACCACUAGGCUACACCGCCAGCCAGAUAGCAUUUGUGUGUGUGUGUGUGUGUGUGUGUGUGUGUGUGGUGGUGGUGGUAUGGGAGGUUGUGGAGAUUGGUAAGUCCUUAAGUGGGCUUGAACUUGCAGUCCUCCUCCCUCAGUCUCCCAGAGUGCUGGGAUCACAGGUGUACAUCACUGCACAGCUCAGGUUAGCAUUCAGAUCUUACAUUUUUCCCUUACUCUCCACGGUUCCUAGCCUAACCACAUAGGCAUUUUAUAAAUAUGUAUAUGUUUACUAAGUAAUCUAGAGAUUUCUCCUCAUACCUCUGCUGACUCCUCUACUCCCUUCUGUCACCUACACCUGGAGACUUCAUUCACUUCUGUGUUCUUAGGAAGACCUUAACUAAUUAGAGUAGCUGUUGUUUUUCUCUCUUUUUUUAUUUCAUUAAUUUUUUUCAUGCUUAUAUAUUAAAUCUCUGGCAUCCUUGGUUAUUUUAGUGUGUAUGAUUCCAAAUUAAUGGUCUUGGAUUUUUUUUCCUUGAUGAAACCUUCAGUGUUUUUGAGGGGGAGGCUCUAGCCUUGCUAACUGUGCCUUGGAUUGCUAUGAUGCAGCAACAUAAUCCCAUCUACCAGGAACUCGGAAUCUUAAAAAUUGCCAAGAUAGUACAGAGAGUUCCCAUAUGCUCUCACAUCCAAACCUAAUAACCUAAAGGAUAUCACUUUGGUGACACAUGUGGAGGAAGGCAGGAGUCCAGAAGAACCACACAUCCUACCAACAAUAACGCUGGCCCUCAGUGCUGUGUGAUCCAUGCAGAAGGCCUUGUGUGCCCCGCACAAAGAAAACAAUGACCAGACUACCAAAUCCUAGCCAGCUCUGCUCCUGCAUUCUCCUCAGCACAGAGUGGCAGAAGUGACAGCAAAAAGAUUGACCUGAUUGAAAUAAGACCCACACCUAGAAGAGUUUCACUCUAGGACUGAAGUGUUACUGUACCACAGGGACUGGGUGAGAGACAUCCAGGGGAGGCAGCUUAGGAUAAGAGCUAAAGAGGGGUCUCUGGCAUCACCUGGUAGGCUUGGGCUGAGCCCAGGAGGAUCAUGGGACCUGUAUACUGUGGUGGGAGUUCAGGUUUGAUAGGUAUAAUCUUCAGAAGUGGUGGUCCUGAGGAGAUGACAUUUGGUCCAGGUGUACACUUGAGCCCUUGCACCACACCUAUAUCCAGCAGAAAUUAGUGGUCUGAAUUACUAUAGUUCAAUAUCUGGGUGGCCUAAGUGUCUUCACUAAAAUCAUAGACGUCUGCUCUGGUUAAGGGUAGUUGAAGACUUCUGGGAAGAUGGUGGAGUGGUGAACAGAGAAACAGUCUCUCCAAGAUUUGGUGUCCAGAUGCUGGAAUAUAUUACCAUGAGGAAGACAAGGAGGGAAGUGGGUGCCUGGGACUCAGCAAGGAUCUGAAGGGAGAAUUGCAGCCCAUAGGAAGAGUGAAGAGAGAUACUUAAACAAAAAAAGAAGGAGAUGGCAAACAGUGCUUCCUCCCUGAGCCCUGACUCACUGCAUGGGAAGGGUGGCUUAAACUUGCAUACACACAGUGACUACUGGCAACCCCAGAGGCCUCCAUGGAGAAAUGCACCAGUGGAAUGUAGCAGUGGAUGCAGCAGACUGCAGUGGCUGGAGAGUUAUUCGGGUUCAGAUGUCCCCCAAGAGAGGGUGAUUGACCAGUCACUGUCUUGGAGGGGCCACAUGCAGAAGAUUGAAUCUAGAUCCAUAUAUCUCACUAUGUACUAAACUGAAAUCAAAAUGGGUCAAAGACCUAAAUAUUAAAACAGAAACAAUCUUCUGGAAAAUAAAAUAGGUACAACUCUUGAAGACAUAGGCAUAGGCAAGGACUUUUGAACAGAUCCCCAGUGGCACAAGAAAUAAUACUGAGAAUCAACAAAUGGGGUCAUAUCAAAUUAAAAAGCUCCAGAGCAAAGGAAACCACCAAAAGAGUGAGGAGACAACCUACAGAAUGGGAAAAAUUAUUUGCCGGCUAUUCCUCAGACAAAAGACUAACAUUAUAAUAUAUAAACUCAAAAGGGCUGGGGAUUUAGCUCAGUGAUUCCACCACCUGCCUUGCAGGUGCAAGGUCCCAAGUUUGAUCUCCGGUACCAAAAAAAAAAGAACUCAAAAGUAUUAGACUCCCAAAAUUAAAGACCCAAUCAAAAGGGCAAAUGAAAUGAAUAGACACUAUGUAGAAGAAGGACAAGCAACCAAUAAGUAGAUUUUAAAAUGUUCAGUGUCUCUGACCAUUAGUGAAAUGCAAAUUGAAACUACACUGAGGUACCAUCUUACCCCAGAAAGAAUGGCUAUCAUCAAAAAAGUCAUAGCAAAUGCUGGUGAGGAUAUGGGAAAAAGGGAAUUCUACAUUGUUGGUGGGAAUAUAAACUAAUAUAAUCAGUAUGGAAAUCAGUGUGAAGAUUUCUCAGCUAUCCCCUUUAUAAGUAUCUUCCCAAAAGAUUUUAAAUUGUCAUAGGGAUACAUGCAUACCCAUGAUUGUAGCAGCACAGUUUAUAAUAGCUAAUUUCCGAAACAGGGUAUAGGUCCAUGAACAGAUGAAUGGAUAAGGAAAAUGUAUUUAUAUACCAUGAAGUACUACUGUGCCAUAAAGAAAGAUAAAUUUCAGGAAUUCAUAGGUAAAUGGAUGCAACUAGAGAACCUAAUGUUAAGUGAAAUAAAGUCAGACAAAGCAGUUUAAAUAUCACAUAGCCUCUCAUAUGAGAAACAGUAUAUGCAAAUGACAAAAUGGAAGAUAAAUAGGAUAUGGGGAGAGGUUCAGUGGUUCCCCAAAUUACCUAUCCCAUUGUUUCAAAAAUAUUUUAGGGCUGAGGAUUUAGCUCAGUGGCACUGUAUCUGCCUCACAAGCGCAAGGUCCUGAGUUUGAUUCCCGGUACCAAAAAAAAAUUUUUAAUGUAUAUGCAAAUUUGUUUCAUUUAUACUAGUAGUUUCUCUUCAUUUGUUGAAAAGAAAAUUUUGUACUAUCAGUUUGCUGCUUUUGUAAGAAUCUUUUGUAGAUGUCUUGUCCGCUGAGUAACUACUUUGAAGAUAAAUGCUACAUAGUGUAUUAACUAUUGCUAUUCUGUUACUUUGUUUUAUCAUAAAAGAAGAAUUUAUCAAUGAGUUAAAAAAUGAGUGGGCACCUGUAUAGUUAGUCCUCAAUAUCUGCACAUUCUGUAUUUACAAAUUCAAUCCUGUGGACUGAAAGUACUUUAUAAAAUAUAGUUCACCUGAGCUGAAUGUGUACAGGUUUCAUUUCUUCUCAUUAUACUGUGGACAAUACAGUGUAACAACUCUUUACAUAACAUUUGCAUUGCAAUAGGUAUUGUAAUUGAUUCAGUGAUGUUGCCUUGAUAUUGGUAAAUUUUGCUUCCCUCAUUUUUCUUCACCGUUGGUUGUUAAUUUUAUUAGUUUGUUCAGAAAAUAAAUUUUUAGUUUUCUUGAUAUUUCCAUUAUACAAAUUUCUUUGCACUGAUUUGUGCUCGUUGGUUUACAGUCUUUACUUGUUUAGUUUUCACUUUGUUUCAGAUUAGUUGUUUGAAUCAUUCAUUUUUAAUCUUUUUGUC